CACCCACAGAACUUUCCACAAGGCAGUUGCUAUCCUGCUGCCCUCUGUUUCAGGCAAAGGCUCAGAAACAAGUGGUAAAAUAACAGAAUUUUGGAAAUCAUAAACAUUUGCAACUUACAAAAAAACUUUGAGGACGAUGAUAUCUACUUACCGCUUAGCAGAUGAGAAAACGGAGACACAGAUAAAUUAAAUGUGUUGCUCUGAGUCCUAAGGCUACUAAGGGGCCACUCAGCCCAAAACUUGGCUUUCAAUUCCACUCUGGGACUCUGUACACUGUUCUUGUUGCUAUUAUACUGCCCAGAGAAUGGGAUGUUUCUGUUUAUUAAAUAAAAGUCCUUAAGUAUACAAACAUAGAAGGACUACAUUCCUAAUUCGCAAAAAGGGGGAACAAAGUUACAUAGAAUCCUAAAACUACCCUGAACAAAGCUGAAGUUGCUAGGAUCUUACAGAAGAUUCAUCCAGGUCCAGCCUUCGAGGUGAUUACAGGUCUCCAGUAGUCUGUCUACAUCUUUCUCAGGUGAGAGGAGAUCUGAGUAAACAUGGCAUCUCUUCCUUGGAUUUACCUGUUACUUCAGCCCUGCUGGACUCUCAUAUAGGACACGUGGAAAAUGAAGAAAAAAAUCAGAAGAGAACCUUUACUAACAUCUUAGUCAAGACUUUAGAAGAGGAGCAGCACUUCUUUGAUCACCCUGAAAGAAGCCUUUCCCAUUUGAAGCAGAAACCUAAGGAGUUUUAACACAUGAAGGCCUCCAGUACCCCAGAUGCCAUGAGGUUGGAGGGGUCUGGUAGACAUUGAGGCACCCAGCAGAUGCCGAACCAGGACUGGAAAGCCAACUUGAUCAUCAGUGUGUGUUGGGCAGUCUGGGGGAGGGAGUUCCCAGGAAAACCAGAGGGAUUCUAUCCAGAGAGCUGAGCUCUUCUAUCAGCAAGCAGGGAUGUGGCCAAGGAAAUUAUUACCAUUUAUGUGACUGCAUCUGUCACUAUGUGCCAGUGAUGCAUGGGGAAAAACUGAAAAUACAAAAACAUAUUGUUAUGUCAUACCAUUAGUCCAUUUUUAAUUGUUUUUUAAAAAUUCAUGUUUUGUACUCUCAAAGACUGAAAAUUUCUGUGAAAUAGGAUGUGAAAAUUUUCAAAUGAUGUUGCCACAUCAUUUUUUUUCUUUUCUCAAAAAUAAAAAAGGAUGUGAGAAGUCUGGCCAACACACAUGUUGGACAUAAAAUGAGAAUUCUUUUUAAAGCCAGAAAUACCUAUUCAUUUCAUUCACACAUUCACUAAGCUACUAAAUCUGAUAGCAGUUCUGAAGGAUACUAAUUAAUUAUGGUUUUAAUAAAGAAAACAAUUCAAUAAACACACACACACACAACAUACACAUGGAUUGUUGAAGAAGUACUGAAACAAAUUUGAAAAACAGGCUUUCAAAUGUUUAUUUUCUGGUUUUGUUUUUCUCUUUUGUGGCAGUAUAGUAUAAAGGAAAAAUCACAAGCCCUUCAAAUCUAACAAUUCCUGAUCCUUCGGCUUAACUGGUUGUAAUCCUUAGAAAACUGACCUCAUUUGUAAAAUGUUACAGAACAAAAUUAGAUAAUCCUCAUGUGGCACCUAGCUCAGUGCCUGUUACAUUAAGCAGAAAAUGCUGUUUUUCCACCUUCUCAAUUCCCUGUCCCCAUUCUUCCCAAGCAUACCUUUCCAUUCCAAGGAUCCACAAACAAAGCAGCAAAAUGGUUAAGAAACAGCAAAAUGGUUAAGAAAUGGGUCUGUAAGCUGUUUCUGACAAGUUAUGCUACAUUCUCAAGGCUUCUGUUUUCUCAUCUAUAAAAUGGGGAUGACUGCACUUUCCACGCAGAUUUUUAUGAGCGGUAAAUGGGUUAAGUCAUGUGAAGUUCUGAGAAGUGUGAAAGUUCUAUGGGAACUUUUUUGUCAUUCCUAUCUUUAAGACAUAGAAGAGUACCUGGAACAAGUAGGUACAAAAUAAAUAUUUCUAAUCAACGAAUGAACGCUGUGACAUGCUUGCUUCUCUUUGUCUAAUACAAACUAUCCCUUUGUAGACUGUGGGACCUGUGUGGGUGUGUGCAGGGCAGAGGUUUAGAGGCUGAACCUAAAUGGAAAUAAGGAAGCCUCCCCGUGACUUCUCAUGACUCAAACUGUAUUUUCUGUGACCCACUAUCACAUUCCUCCAUAGUAGAUAUGCCUGCCCUGUCUUGCACAGGCACAGAUCUGGGUUCAAUGCUUGAGCACUGAUCUCUGUGCCAGUGUGUCUCCAUGCUGCCUUCUGUCCAGG
rnacentral:lncRNA from 1 species